GUCCCAGUAGCUCAGCCGGAUAGAGCAACGGCCUUCUAAGCCGUCGGUCGGGAGUUCGAAUCUCUCCUGGGACGCCA
rnacentral:tRNA from 8 species